UGCUAUUGGGAUUCGACUAAGCCAUGCGAGUUGUGAGGGUUCGGCCCUCGGCAGACGGCUCAGUAACACGUAGAUAAUUUGCCCUUAGGUGGAGGAUACCCUCGGGAAACUGAGAAUAAUACUCCAUAGAUCUAGAUUGCUGGAAUGCUUUUAGAUUGAAAGAUUUAUCGCCUAAGGAUAAGUCUGCGGACUAUCAGGUUGUAGUUAGGGUAAAUACCUGACUAGCCUACGACGGAUACGGGUAGUGAGAGCUUUAGCCCGGAGAUGAUAUCUGAGACACGAUAUCAGGCCCUACGGGGCGCAGCAGGCGCGAAAACUUCGCACCGUGCGAAAGCACGACGAGGGAAUCCCAAGUGCUGGCUCGUAAGAGUCAGCUGUUUUUCUGUCUAAAAAACAGGGAGAGUAAGAGCUGGGUAAGACGGGUGCCAGCCGCCGCGGUAAUACCUGCAGCUCAAGUGGUGGCCGCUAUUAUUGGGCCUAAAACGUCCGUAGCCGGUUUCA
rnacentral:rRNA from 1 species